CGUCGGAACGCUUUUCUCUCGGUGGGCGUACCGAAUGCAAUGUUUUUGACAAUACAACCCUCCGUCUGCAUUCGUCGCGCUGAAUUGCCACCCCGCGGGGUUGCUUUGUGCCAAAAUUAGAUUUUAGAUGAUUCGGCUUUAAAUAGUUCGCCACUAGAUAUUUUGUAACCGGUUUAUACGACUUUUACCGCGGUUGAACGUUUUGUAGAGUUGCUGUUAUAAUAGAGUUACCAACAUGCCCCAAGGACCCAAACAGAGCCCCCUCAUGAAACCGUUUGUAGUUCUGGCCUUGCCGGGAAUGUAUUUGUUUUAUAAGUACAACCAAUACAAACGAAAGAGGAAGGAAAAUGCAACCAGGCGACUGGCUGAGCGCGAGUUGAUGUACUUGAACAGUAAAAUUAUUAACAAGAACACAUGAAAAAUAAGCACUCACUUUCCAAACCUUUACGUAAAUCGUUCAUAACAGAAUUAGAAAAGGCCCCAAUUU